rnacentral:lncRNA from 1 species
UUCUGUAAAAUUGAUUCUGACAUAAAUUGAGUUGAAGAUAAAGUGAUUUAUGUUUGAAUAUAUUCAUGUAAAAGUGAGUUAAAUAAAAAAAAAAAGAGUGGAUAUUCAGCAAGACUUUUUUUGUCCGCAAACCAAAAGCAUGACCUCAAAUUCAAAUACAACUCAUUACUUUGUUGUUCCUACUUUGUUGUUCCUCUAUUACCCAAGCGGGUAUGAGAAUGGAUACAUGUAUUUUUUCA